UUUCAUUACAUAGUUAACUUUUGGUCUUGAUGUUUGCAUCUAUUUUCUGCUAAGUGCUGUAUAAUCCCCUAUUCCUACCCAUAUUAAAUGAGCAUAAAGACAGUCAUGUGGCAGGUUUAGAGUUUCAUUAAAAACAUUUGUUAUUCUGAUGCAUUGUGCUGAUUUAUCCUGUGUGCUUAAAAAUGGGAUCUAGAAAUAAUUCACUAAGAUAUGUAGAAUUUUAUAUUAUAUCUCUUUAUGUUUAACCUUUAGAGCUUAAUAUCACUUAGUGUUUAGUAUAAUCGACCUGCUUUUGUUGAAACUCGCGUAUAAAGGAAGAGGCGGACUCUGGUGGUUCCUCUAACUCUCCUCCAGUGAAACGGUUCAGUCAGUCAGAGACAUGAAGGAAGCAGCUGCUCAGCGUCUGAUCUUUCUGAUCUCACUGCUGUUCUGGAUGUCAGGUCAAGUCCUCCCAGUUCGUCUGACUGUGAGUCCCAGCAGAUCUCAGUUCUUUGAAUAUGAAUCAGUGACUCUGACCUGUGAGGAUGAAAACAGCUCUGAUGGAUGGACUGUGAGGAGAAACACAACUGGAGAAACCAGGAAACAGUGUGGAAAAG